rnacentral:rRNA from 1 species
GACGAACGCUGGCGGCGUGCCUAAUACAUGCAAGUUGAGCGCUGAAGGUUGGUACUUGUACCAACUGGAUGAGCAGCGAACGGGUGAGUAACGCGUGGGGAAUCUGCCUUUGAGCGGGGGACAACAUUUGGAAACGAAUGCUAAUACCGCAUAAAACCUUUAAACACAAGUUUUAAGUUUGAAAGAUGCAAUUGCAUCACUCAAAGAUGAUCCCGCGUUGUAUUAGCUAGUUGGUGAGGUAAAGGCUCACCAAGGCGAUGAUACAUAGCCGACCUGAGAGGGUGAUCGGCCACAUUGGGACUGAGACACGGCCCAAACUCCUACGGGAGGCAGCAGUAGGGAAUCUUCGGCAAUGGACGAAAGUCUGACCGAGCAACGCCGCGUGAGUGAAGAAGGUUUUCGGAUCGUAAAACUCUGUUGGUAGAGAAGAACGUUGGUGAGAGUGGAAAGCUCAUCAAGUGACGGUAACUAACCAGAAAGGGACGGCUAACUACGUG